AUUUUACGUCGUUUUCAGCCCUGAAAAUCCACGUGAGCCCACAGUGCAAAGAGGUCUUGGACGGUUUUAACAGAUUUGAUCUGGAAUGCAGGGGGAACGUGGAAAUGAAGGGCAAAGGCCUGGUCAAGACAUACUGGCUCCUGGGCGAGAAGAACCAGAGUGACAGUCCAGGUGUCUCCCUCAACAUUUUGUGAUGUCCAGCCACACGCUGACCAGCACUCCGGCCACACGCUGACCAGCACUCCGGCCACACACAGAGAAAUGACCAGCACUCCAGCCACACACAGAGAAAUGACCAGCACUCCGGCCACACACAGAGAAAUGACCAGUCACAUCCAGAGAUGUCCAGUGCUUCAGCUACUCACACAAACAUACAAACACUCA